rnacentral:rRNA from 1 species
CACGUAUUUAGCCGUCGCUUCUUCUGUUGGUACCGUCACUUUCUUCUUCCCAACUGAAAGCACUUUACGAUCCGAAAACCUUCAUCGUGCACACAGAAUUGCUGGAUCAGACUUUUGGUCCAUUGUCCAAUAUUCCCCACUGCUGCCUCCCGUAGGAGUAAGGGCCGUGUCUCAGUCCCCUUGUGGCCGAUCACCCUCUCAGGCCGGCUAUCCAUCGUCGCCUUGGUGAGCCGUUACCUCACCAACUAGCUAAUGGAACGCAAAGCUCUCCUUCAGCGCAUAUAGCUUUCAUGAUCCUCCCAUGCGAGAGUUCCAUAAUAUCCGGUAUUAGCCAUCGUUUCCAAUGGUUGUCCCAGACUGAAGGCAAGUUCUUUACGCGUUACUCACCCGUCCGCCACUUUCCACAACCGAAGUUGCUUCAAGUCGACUUGCAUGUGUUAAGCAUUCUGUCAGCGUUCAUCCUGAGCCAGGAUCAAACUCU